rnacentral:rRNA from 1 species
AGUGAACGCUGGCGGUAGGCCUAACACAUGCAAGUCGAACGGCAGCACAGUAAGAGCUUGCUCUUACGGGUGGCGAGUGUCGGACGGGUGAGGAAUACAUCGGAAUCUACUUUUUCGUGGGGGAUAACGUAGGGAAACUUACGCUAAUACCGCAUACGACCUACGGGUGAAAGCCGGGGAUCUUCGGACCUUGCGCGAUUGAAUGAGCCGAUGUCGGAUUAGCUAGUUGGCGGGGUAAAGGCCCACCAAGGCGACGAUCCGUAGCUGGUCCUAGAGGUUGAUCCGCCACACUGGAAAGGAGGCAAAGUCAGGACUGGACUAGGAGGCAGCGGUGGGGAGUAUGGGACAAUGGGGGAAAGAAUGAUGCAGCAAUACCGCGGGGGUGAAGAAGGCCUUCGGGUUGUAAAGCCAUUUUGUCGGGAAAGAAAAGCAGCAGGUUAAGGCCCCGCUGUUCUGGCGGUAGCCGAAGAAUAAGCACCGGCUAACUUC